rnacentral:misc_RNA from 1 species
AACUUUUAGCAACGGAUCUCUUGGCUCUGGCACCGAUGAAGAACGCAGCGAGAUGCGAUACGUAAUGCGAAUUGCAGAUCUGAGCGAGUCAUCGAGUCUUUGAACGCACAUUGCGCCCGCCAGCAUUCUGGCGGUGCACCCCUGUCCGAGCGUCAGCCUACCCGUCGAGCGCCGCUCGUGUUGGGGCCCUGCGGCCGCCGCAGGCUCCGGAAGACAGUGGCGGGGACGCCGCCGCGCCGAGCGUAGUAGCGCAAGCCUCGCUCCGGGGCGGCGGCGACCCCCGCCGGGCCCGGCCCCGAAUCAAUGCUCAAGAUGACCUCGGAUCAGGUGGGAAUACCCGCUGAACUUAAGCAUAUCAAUAAGCGGAGGCU